rnacentral:rRNA from 1 species
GUCCUAGCCGUAAACGGUGCACGUUUGCUGUGAGUGGAAUCGACCCCACUCGUGGCGUAGCCAACGCGUUAAACGUGCCGCCUGGGAAGUACGGUCGCAAGAUUAAAACUCAAAGAAAUUGACGGGGGCCUGCACAAGCUGUGGAGUAUGUGGCUCAAUUCGAUGCAACGCGAAGAACCUUACCUGGCCUUGACAUGUACGUAGUAGAAGGGUGAAAGCCUGACGAGGUAGCAAUACCAGCGUACACAGGUGCUGCAUUGCUGUCGU